rnacentral:tRNA from 2 species
GCCCAGGUAGCUCAGUCGGUAGAGCAGGGGACUGAAAAUCCCCGUGUCGGUGGUUCAAAUCCGCCCCUGGGCACCA